rnacentral:rRNA from 1 species
GGGUUGUAAACUGCUUUUUAAGGUGAAUAAAGAGGGGCACGUGUGCCCUGUUGCAUGUAGCCUUGGAAUAAGGACCGGCUAAUUCCGUGCCAGCAGCCGCGGUAAUACGGAAGGUCCGGGUGUUAUCCGGAUUUAUUGGGUUUAAAGGGAGCGUAGGCCGCAGGUUAAGUGUGUUGUGAAAAGCAGUCGCCCAACGUCUGCCUUGCAGCGCAAACUGUCCUGCUUGAGUGCGCACAACGCAGGCGGAAUUCGUCGUGUAGCGGUGAAAUGCUUAGAUAUGACGAAGAACUCCGAUUGCGAAGGCAGCUUGCGGGAGCGCAACUGACGCUGAAGCUCGAAAGUGCGGGUAUCGAACAGGAUUAGAUACCCUGGUAGUCCGCACGGUAAA